rnacentral:rRNA from 1 species
UACGGAGGGUGCGAGCGUUGUCCGGAAUCACUGGGCGUAAAAGGCGCGUAGGCGGCAUGCCAAGCGUGUGGUGAAAGCCCGGGGCUCAACCCCGGGUCGGCCGUGCGGACUGGCGUGCUCGAGCACUGUAGGGGCGGGUGGAAUUCCGGGUGUAGCGGUGGAAUGCGUAGAGAUCCGGAAGAACACCGGUGGCGAAGGCGGCCCGCUGGGCAGGAAGGCUCGCAAGAGCCGGCUGACGCUGAGGCGCGACAGCGUGGGGAGCAAACAGG